GGAUAUGAGCUGAUGUUUAAUGGGUUCUUUAUGUUACUGCUGUUGUUCAAUGGUGUUGCUUUCACUCCUUUCAUAGUUUGUUGUGAAAAAAAUCCAAUCUUUUUGAAGAUAUAGGAAGAAUAUAAGUGUAUUGAUUGAAAGGGGUUUGUGGGGGUGCUGAAAGAUUAGGUUUUUUUCUUGUUUGAGGGUGAAAUGUUGGCAUUGGUAGGGGGAGAAGGUGAUAUGGAGCAAGAAUUUGAUGCAAAGCUAAAGAUUCAGAACAAUUCAGCUAAUACUCAGAGAUCUAAGAGCUUUGCAUUUAGGGCACCACAAGAGAAUUUUACAAUUCAAGAUUUUGAAUUGGGGAAGAUCUAUGGAGUUGGUUCUUAUUCCAAGGUUGUCAGAG
rnacentral:misc_RNA from 1 species